rnacentral:rRNA from 1 species
CCCUUAGAUGUUCUGGGCUGCACGCGUGCUACAAUGGCGCUUGCAACAAGUCUUGCCAACCCGAUAGGGUUAGCGGAUCUUUGAAGAGGCGUCGUGAUCGGGACAGUUGAUUGCAAUUAUUCGACUCGAACGAGGAAUUCCUUGUAAUCGCGAUUCAUCAUAUCGCGCUGAAUACGUCCCUGCCCUUUGUACACACCGCCCGUCGCUCCUACCGAUUGAGCGAUCCGGUGAAUGUUUUGGACUGGCGUCAGAAGCGGUUCGCUCCUGACACUACGAAAUUUUGUAAACCUUAUCGCUUAGAGGAAGGAAAAGUCGUAACA